CCUCACCCACCCCCCUCCCCUCCCGGCUCGCGGACUCCCCGCCAAGGCCGCGCGACCCCGCCCCAGUCCGCUCGCCGUAGAACACGCACCGCCCCUUUUUACUCUUGUCGCUGCCCGUGCGCGUGCGCGGGGCCGCCCUGCCGCCGCACCCUAGUCUUUUGCUUUCUUUUUCCUGCCCCGGGCCUCGCUCUUACGCACGGGACCACAAUGCCCCGCGCCGCUUGUCAUUUGGAGGCGCCUGGAGGUGGGGGUCUCUCGGAAGGAAAAGAAUUCAGCCAGAGGUACAUGAACCACAGAUGUUCAUCACCACUCCAAGACCAAGUUCAUUUUCAGCAGCCCAGAUGAGACCACCAUAAAUGAAAGAGAGGCCAAGUAACUGGUUGCUGAUCCUACACUCUGCUCCCAUAAGCCAUCCACAUGGCAGACCUGACUUACCUUUCCUAUGACAUCUGUUAACAGUUUAAGUGCCAGAGGAUCAUGAACCAAGGAGUCUGUGUAAAAGGAACCAAGUCAUUUUGAGAAACUCAGUGCUGCUCCCUUGCCUACUACAAAGUCAGUAAGAGGACCUGAGUUGAGCUCCAUGGAGGCCUGCCUGCAAGAACAUCUCAGGCUCAGGAUGUCCCUGGUCCAAGGUACAUACAUACGCACUUUGGAGAAACUCACCUUGCUGUGAUGUUGGAGCUGCACCCAGCCUCCAUAGCCGAAUCUCUGUGGAGGAGAAGCACAGUCAGGCUGGAGGAACAAAAUAGGGAUGACUGCAAUAAAGGGGUAUCCCUGUGGCAGAGGAUCCUGAACUCCAAUCUUUCAGGUUAUGACCUUCCCAUUUUCUGCCCUGACACCCAUGUAUCACUUUUUCGAUAUUGAUAUUUAAGUCAAUUUACUAUUUUCCCUCAAAUAUAUU